CAGUAGCCGCGGUAAUACGAAGGGUGCAAGCGUUAAUCGGAAUUACUGGGCGUAAAGCGUGCGUAGGCGGUUUGUUAAGUCUGUUGUGAAAUCCCCGGGCUCAACCUGGGAAUGGCAAUGGAUACUGGCAAGCUAGAGUGUGUCAGAGGAUGGUGGAAUUCCCGGUGUAGCGGUGAAAUGCGUAGAGAUCUGGAGGAAUACCGGUGGCGAAGGCGGCCCCCUGGACAAAGACUGGCGCUCAGGUGCGAAAGCGUGGGGAGCAAACAGGAUUAGAUACCCGCGUAGUCCCUGUCUCUUAUAC
rnacentral:rRNA from 1 species